AUAACUGACAAUGAUAACAGCCAAGGAGAGGUACUGUAAUUGAUGUGGUGCGCAUGUGUGUCAAUAAAGUUUUCUCUUCCAGUUUGAACAAGAUGGAUGCCCCACUGUGUUUUUUACUCCUCUGAAUUAUCUUCGGUCUAGCACUGGGUCGGCUGCAAGAAUCGCUGCACAAUUCACCUCUGCCAACAGAAAAACAUAAAAAAGUCUGAAGAA